CCUGUCGUGUCUGCACCCAUUCCCAAGGGG
rnacentral:sRNA from 1 species